GAUGAACGCUAGCUACAGGCUUAACACAUGCAAGUCGAGGGGCAGCAUGACGAUAGCUUGCUAUUGUCGAUGGCGACCGGCGCACGGGUGAGUAACGCGUAUCCAACCUUCCCGUUGCUAGGGGAUAACCUUGCGAAAGUAAGACUAAUACCCUAUGAAGUUCUUCGCAGGCAUCUAAAGAGAACGAAAGAUUUAUCGGCAACGGAUGGGGAUGCGUCUGAUUAGGUUGUUGGCGGGGUAACGGCCCACCAAGCCCACGAUCAGUAGGGGUUCUGAGAGGAAGGUCCCCCCACAUUGGAACUGAGACACGGUCCAAACUCCUACGGGAGGCAGCAGUGAGGAAUAUUGGUCAAUGGGCGAGAGCCUGAACCAGCCAAGUAGCGUGCAGGACGACGGCCCUAUGGGUUGUAAACUGCUUUUAUAAGGGAAUAAAGUGAGUCUCGUGAGACUUUUUGCAUGUACCUUAUGAAUAAGGACCGGCUAAUUCCGUG
rnacentral:rRNA from 1 species